UUUUUUAUUGUUGUUCUAGAU
rnacentral:snRNA from 1 species